GAGUUUGAUCCUGGCUCAGGAUGAACGCUAGCUACAGGCUUAACACAUGCAAGUCGAGGGGCAGCAUUAAAGUUUGCUUGCAAACUUUAGAUGGCGACCGGCGCACGGGUGAGUAACACGUAUCCAACCUGCCGAUAACUCGGGGAUAGCCUUUCGAAAGAAAGAUUAAUACCCGAUGGUAUAUUUUCACCGCAUGGUGAAACUAUUAAAGAAUUUCGGUUAUCGAUGGGGAUGCGUUCCAUUAGGCAGUUGGUGAGGUAACGGCUCACCAAACCUUCGAUGGAUAGGGGUUCUGAGAGGAAGGUCCCCCACAUUGGAACUGAGACACGGUCCAAACUCCUACGGGAGGCAGCAGUGAGGAAUAUUGGUCAAUGGGCGCGAGCCUGAACCAGCCAAGUAGCGUGAAGGAUGACGGCCCUAUGGGUUGUAAACUUCUUUUAUAUGGGAAUAAAGUUUGGUAUGUAUACCAUUUUGUAUGUACCAUAUGAAUAAGGAU
rnacentral:rRNA from 1 species